rnacentral:rRNA from 1 species
GACGAACGCUGGCGGCGUGCUUAACACAUGCAAGUCGAACGAUGAAGCCGGAGCUUGCUCUGGUGAAUUAGUGGCGAACGGGUGAGUAACACGUGAGUAACCUGCCCUUGACUCUGGGAUAACUGCGGGAAACUGAAGCUAAUACCGGAUACGACCCUCGGAGGCAUCUCCUGGGGGUGGAAAGAAUUUCGGUCAAGGAUGGACUCGCGGCCUAUCAGCUAGUUGGUGAGGUAAAGGCUCACCAAGGCGACGACGGGUAGCCGGCCCGAGAGGGUGACCGGCCAGCCGGGGACGGAGACACGGCCCAGACUCCUACGGGAGGCAGCAGUGGGGAAUAUUGCGCAAUGGGCGCAAGCCUGAUGCAGCAACGCCGCGUGAGGGAGGACGGCCUUCGGGUUGUAAACCUCUUUUAGCAGGGAAGAAGCGAAAGUGACGGUACCUGCAGAAAAAGCACCGGCUAACUACGUGCCAGCCGCCGCAGUAA